rnacentral:rRNA from 1 species
AGUGAACGCUGGCGGUAGGCCUAACACAUGCAAGUCGAACGGCAGCACAGGAGAGCUUGCUCUCUGGGUGGCGAGUGGCGGACGGGUGAGGAAUACAUCGGAAUCUACUUUUUCGUGGGGGAUAACGUAGGGAAACUUACGCUAAUACCGCAUACGACCUACGGGUGAAAGCAGGGGACAUUCGGGCCUUGCGCGAUUGAAUGAGCCGAUGUCGGAUUAGCUAGUUGGCGGGGUAAAGGCCCACCAAGGCGACGAUCCGUAGCUGGUCUGAGAGGAUGAUCAGCCACACUGGAACUGAGACACGGUCCAGACUCCUACGGGAGGCAGCAGUGGGGAAUAUUGGACAAUGGGCGCAAGCCUGAUCCAGCCAUACCGCGUGGGUGAAGAAGGCCCUCGGGUUGUAAAGCCCUUUUGUUGGGAAAGAAAUCCAGCUGGCUAAUACCCGGUUGGGAUGACGGUACCCAAAGAAUAAGCACCGGCUAACUUCGUGCCAGCCGCCGCUGUAA